AUAGUGGAAUUUUUUUUUCUUUAUGCAAAUCAGUUUGUGUUAUUAAGGCAGAAAGCUCUGCGCUAGUAAACCACCUCUGCCGAAGGCUUCAAAUUUCCAUUUGAAACUGAUGGGAAAAUUGAGGCGGAAGAUAGGAUAUGUCCAUAUUGUGAGCUAGCUGCUCUCUUCCAGCUAUGUAUCAAGCUCUCUGGGUUUGGUUCCCAACAUAUUAUUUUGGUACAUAGUUCAUCACUGAGGCAGGCAAAAGAAAUCAAGAAUGUAUUGAUGUAUUUAGCUCAGCAAGGUCAGCUGUGCCUUGGAUUUAUUUGAAACAGACUUGGGUAGACUUAACUAGGAUGAGAUGGAGAGAUAAGAAGACAGAGGAGUAUGACUGCUGGCAAAUUAAAUUUUCAGAAUUUACUGGUCAAAAAAUCAAAGUUUUUAAAAAUAGAAUUACAGGUUUUCAAAUUAUUCCCAGCGCAGGUGAAGAUCUUAGCAUGGCAAACAUAAAUCUAUUAACUGAAAUGCCAUCAGUGCCACCUGUCUUGUGAAGACCCCUUCAAAGUUUAAUCCACAGGUCUUGUAGCCUGUCAAAAAAAACCCCUCAGUUAACAACUUGGAGUCCCCGAAGCCCAUGGAUGAACCACAAGAUGUCGAUAAGGAAUAUACAAGAAAGUCAAAAUGAUGGAAUCAAUUUUGCUUUCUAAGUACCUUUAUCCCACUUUAUGGAGUUAAACGAUCUGCAGUGAAUGAACCCACAAAAACCUCCCAGAUUUGCUCCCAUCAAUUUCUUCAUGGAAGAGGCUUUGCUACCCUAUGUUGAUUGGGUUGGAGCAGCACGAACUAGACCUGGCAUACACACAGUGUUGUGGCAGUGGUUGUUGCAGCAGCUGUGGUGUGGCAAGACACACUGAUGGUAAGUCCAAGAAUUUGUCUUGACGGGCCUGGGUGAUAAGCACCACCAUGAAGAAAAGACUUCUGUCACAGCAAGCAAAGGCCAGAUCCCCAGGAAAGUAUCUGUCUUCCUAUCAAAAUACCAGGAUGGUGAAAAAGGCUCUCAUGGCUUAUGGGCAGCUGUGUCUGAGAUGGCUUCCCCUGCUUGUCUUGUGUUUCCUGCAUUGUACUGCUCUCCUUUGUCUCCUCUCUAGUGCUGUCGUGGAGAAAUCACCGAUAUGUGUCUUUUACAAACAGAUCAAUAGACCAAAAAGGUUGAUCAUUAGGAAGAUAAGACCACCCUAGCACAUCACCAGUUGUUUUAAGAUGUUUCUGAUUAAUGAUUCUAUUUUAGCUAUUUCAGUGCUCAGCAGUCUUUAUUUUUCAGUGUUGAUAGUGGAAGUCCAUGCCUUUCCUGAAUCGGAGUUAUUUUGACCAGUAAUCCAAACGUGGGUCAACUCAAAUCAAUAGAAAUGUCAUUAGCAUCCCAGUACUGUGAAAGACAAUAUGAACAUUUCUCAUGCAUUCAGUUUAUUAAAAUUUACUAAAGUGUGAAAUACGUAUGACAAGUAAUGAUGUUUUAAUCUUUCACCAAGGUAACAAUUGAAAGCUGAUUGAUUCCAUUCAGUAAUUAUAAAAUCAAAAUGAUGGAAGAUUGUAAUCAAAAAGGAUUCUGUCUCAUACUUUGUCAUGCCUCCAUGCAAGAUAAAAUUCUUAUUUGUAACAUCUCUUUUAUCCAAAAAGUAAUCAAACUCUUAUUUGGCCAGUUGAAAUCUCAUGGCUGGUUGGACAGCAAACUUUCUUUUAAACUCUGAUGAGGAGAAAAAAGUGGCCUGCAUCCACCAAAGCUGCCGGUUUUCCAGGAGAAUGUCAUAGGAGACAGUAUCAAAGGCUUUACUAAAGUCCAGGUAGACAAUACCUACAGCCUUUCCCUCAUCCACUAGGCAGGUUACCUGGUCAUAAAUGGAGAUCAGGUUGGUCAGGCAGGACCUGCCUUUCACAGCCCCCUGCUGGCUAGGCCUGAUCCUUUAGUUGUCCUAUAUGUGCAGUGUGAUCACCUGCAAGAGGAUCUUUAUUCCAAAACCUUCUCCAGCAGCAGGGUCAGGCUGACACUCUGUAAUUCCCCAGAUCUUCCUUCUGGCUCUUUUUGUGGAUAGCCAUCACACCAUUCAGCUUUCAGUCAUCUGGGACCUCCCUGGUUAUCUAGGACUGAUAAAUGAUGGAAAGCAGCUUGGUGAGGUCUUUUGCCACCUCCCUCAGUAUCCUUAGAUGAAUCUUAUCUGUUGCCAUACACUUAUGAAUGUCUGAAUAGCUCAGCAAGUCACUAACUACUUAUUCCUGGAUUUCAAGUGGUCUUUUCUGCUCCCUCUCCCUGUCUACCAGCAACCAGGGACUGGUUGCCCUGAGGAUAUCCAGUCUUUCUGUAAAAGACUGAAGCAAAGAAGGCAUCAAGUAUCUCAGCCUUUUCCUCAUCCUUGGUGAAAAUGUUCUCCUCCCCAUCUAAAAAAGGAUAGAGAUCUUCCUUGUCCUUUUGUUUGGAGGAUUUACAAAAACAUUUUACCAUGUUUCAAAGCAGUGACCAGAUUCAGUUCUAGCUGAGCUUUCACCUUUCUGAAUUUCUAUCUAUAUGAUCCAGCAACACCCUUGUACUCUUCCAGAGUUGUCUUCACCUUCUUCCAAAGGUCAAAAGUUCUCUUUAUUUCCCUGACUUCCUGCAAAAGCUCCCUUUUCAGCUAGGCCAGUCUUCUUCCCAACUAGCUUGUCUUUUGGUACAUAGAGAUGGCCUGCUCCUGCACCUUUAAGAUUUCCUCCUAAAGUAUGUCCAGCCCUCCUGGACCCAUUUGCUAUUAAGAACUCUUUUUCAGGGAGCUCUAUGAACCAGUGUUGGAACAGGUUGAAGUCUAAGGUAGAAGAUUUGUUACCCACUUCCUUACUUCCACCCAGUUGUUUCAUAUUCAUUGAAACAGUCCAUAUCUCCCACCAGCCCUUCUUUGUUUUCAAACAACAGGUCUGUCAGGGCACUGACCCUGACAGACUCACUUAUGAAGAUAGGAAAUUAUCUUCUGCACACUCAGGAAUCUCUUAGACUGACCUCUCUCAGCUGUGUUGAGUUUCCAGCAGACAUCCAGUAAGGUAAAGUCUCCAACAAGAGCAAGGGUUAGCACUCUUGGAACCUCAGUCAGCCACUCAUGGAAUACUUCAUCUGCCUCUUCAUUCUCGUAGUGUACAGUAUAUCUGCCUUGUUAGCCUUCCCCCUAAGUCUUACCCACAGCCACUCAGCCUUGUCAUCACUGUCCUUCAGCUCUGUGCAGUGUUUCACUCCCUAAUGUACAAAGCCACUCCACUGCCUCUUCUUCCCCACCUGUCCCUUCUGAAGAACCAUUAUAAUUCUUGUGACACCACUCCAGCCAUGUGAGUCAUCCCACUGCCUUUCGGUGAUGGUGACAGUCACAUCUUUCCUGCUGCCAAUGGCUUCCUCCUGUUUGUUGCUUUGUUACCCAUACUGUGUGCACUGUGUGGAUGCUCUUCAGCUGGACUACUGAUUUCACUCCCAGUGCUAACACGCCCACUCUAGGCUCAUCUCUGCUGAGGCUAGUUUUAGCAUAGUCCCCCUUAAACUUGGUUUAAAACCCUCUCAAUCAGUCCUGUCAACUCAUGGGCUAGAAUUCCUUUUCCCUCUUUUGGACAGGCAAACCCUAUCUCUUUCCAGCAGGCACCAUAUAAAACACCCCAUGAGCAAAAAAGCCAGAAUUCCAACAGUGGCACCAAUCUUUAAGCCACAUGUUGAUCAGGUGGCUGUUCCUGUUGGCAUUCUUCCCUGCUACUGAAAUAAUUGAGGAAAACAACAUCUAUGCUCCUGUCCUUACAACCAGUUAACCCAGUGCCCUGAAGUCCUUUUUGAUUGUUGUAGGACUUCUCUCUUCAGUGUCAUUACUGCCAACCUGGGCAACAACAGUGGAUAAUAAAUCAGCAUGUUCCCUGACUCAGUUCAGGGAAUCUUCUAGUAACAUCUCUCACCCAGGCUCCAGGGAGGUAGCAGAUUUCCCUGUGGAAUAGGUGCUUUUGGCCAUGGGAGCCUCAGUACCCCUCAGAAGGAAUUAAUCUAGAAAACACCAGGAAUUUUCCUUUUAUAUGUCUAAGGGGAGACACCAUUUAAAAUGUCAAAAAAAAAAAAAAGUAAAAAAAAAAUUAAAAAUAAAAGUUAAAAGGAAAAUAAAAAAUCAGUAUUUCUUUGGUUUUCUAGUGACUCAGCAAAAGCAAAAUCUGGCCCUGUGUUGUUAGGAAGAAGUAAAUUUUAAAUUCUUUUAAACUGCAGCUUCUCACUGCAACAUUUUGCGUGAUGCAGGUUAAUGGCUGACUGCUAAAAAGAGAACUUCUUAGUUUCAGUUGUCUAAUGGGAUUUUUGGCAAGCUGCUUGUUAGAAGGAUUAUUUUCUUUAACAAUAUUGCUGUAGGAAUGCAUCUUCUAAAUAGCCUGCUACAUUAUUUUGACAUGACCUUCAUAUCUUUUGAACUUACAUUUUCUGGAAUUCUUUUUCUCCCAUUAAGAAGCAAUGUUGUUGGGUGUGUUUUUUCUAAUAAAUCUGGAUGGAUGAUCAGGAAAAAAAACCUGGUGUGUCCAAUGGCUUGAUAAUUUCAGGGUCAAAACAGAUUUUAUGUAUUGGUCUUCUUUCACUUGCUGAUGCAUCUAUUUAACCAAGCAGCUGGUGCAUAAGAUCUAGCUGGCAGCACACAGAAUGCAUUAGGAGAACAAAGGGAAUGUGAGAUUAAACCAAAAAGAGGCAAGAACAGAGUUUCCUCACUGUUCUGCAUGAAGGUAGGAGCUGCUCCGAGAGGAUGCAAACUCAAUUUUCUUAUUGGACUUCUGGCCUCUUACCUCCAUCAGAUUAUUCAAAGGUAAAUUUGCUUUUCACUCUCUCAGAAAGACCAUUUUCCCCUCACUGGUAUGUUUAUUUAUUAGUAACAUUAUUUGUAAAAUGCUAACUUCAUUGGCUGCACUGUUACGAUGUUAUCUCUGUGUGCUUCUGUGAGAAUAUAACAAUGUCAUGAAGAAAAAUGAUGUAAAAAUGAUGCGGGUACAUAAAAUGGGAUUGACAAAAUGUAAUAAAUCACUGCUGGGCUGAGGAACAGACCUGCAUGUGUAAUGAAAUACUUCAGCAUUACAUCAUCGUUUAUGUAACAUCUGGCAGAGCCUUGUAUUUCAGUGCUGCUUUGAAUUGGGAUCAUUUUUUUCUCUCAGAUAAAAGAGAAAAACAAGCCUCUAGGUUUUGCACAUAGAAAACUGUAAAGAAAAAAAAUAAGAAAAAAAAUAACCCUUAAAAUACCCCAGAGAAGUUUCCCUCUGAGAAGUUCUGUCAUCUCCAACUGGAUGCAAAUAAUAUAAUGACUGAGCUGCAUACAAAAUAGCAUCCUAGAAGAUGUUUUCAAUUUUAUAAGAGAAACAUAUUUUAACAUGAAGGCUUUUUUUUGAGAUUAUUUCAUCCAAGAAGAAUUUUUAUAAUUGACAUCAUUAUACAUGCCUUGGAACCAGACUUUUAACAAAAAAAAAAAAUGCAGGUGUGCAUUCUAUGUACUUUAGUGUUUUCCACUUCAUGUUUUUUUUCAAACGAGAAUUGAAUUAUCUUUAUUGUGGACUCCUAGUCUUGUCUGAUGCAAACAUACGGGUACUAUUUCAGUGUGGAUUCCUCCAUCCCAGGCUGCCAUCAGAGUCUUCCUCAUCCCAGGAACUCUGCCCUGUUCACCUGUGGUGCCAGCCAUGCCAACAUGAUGGGCUGGUGGGGUGAGGAUUAGUUGAAAUGUGUUUAAUUGCUGUUGAAACAGAUGAAAUCAGAAAUGUGAAUGUCUGCUGCAAAAGUAUCUGGAUAGCACACUCACCUGUCUGAAAUCAGUAGAAAUCUUGCUAUUAAUUUCUAGGGUUCUUGGCUGUUGCCUUGUGCCUCUUGCCUCUGAAGCCUUUGGGAGGUCCUGGUGUGGUGGUGGUGGUGUGAGGGUGCUGCAGGGAUCCAGGCUGCCAGCCCUCUCAGCAGAUAACUUUCCUUCCCUAAACUUUUGGUGAGUUGCAGCUGUCCAGAAUGCAGUGCUGGAGCAUUGACAAA